rnacentral:rRNA from 1 species
GACGAACGCUGGCGGCGUGCUUAAUACAUGCAAGUCAACUUGACUUUAGAUAGCAAUAUCGAAAAGUAGGGUGGCGCACGGGUGCGUAACGCGUAGGUAAUCUGCCCUGAGGUCUGACAUAACCCGUCGAAAGGCGGGCUAACAUCAGAUGAUAUAUAGUCACGACAUCGUGGAAAUAUCAAAUCUUCGGAGCCUUGGGAUGAGCCUGCGUCUGAUUAGGUAGUUGGCGGAGUAAUAGCCCACCAAGCCUACGAUCAGUAGCUGGUCUGAGAGGAUGAUCAGCCACACUGGAACUGAGACACGGUCCAGACUCCUACGGGAGGCAGCAGUAAGGAAUAUUGCUCAAUGGGGGAAACCCUGAAGCAGCAACGCCGCGUGAAGGAUGAAAUACUUUGUAUGUAAACCUCUGUAAGAUGGGAAAAAUAUUACUCCUCGGGAGAAUUGAUUGUACCAUCAGAGUAAGACCCCGGCUAACUACGUGCCAG